UCAAGAAACUUCCACAAUGGGCGAAAGCCUGAUGGAGCGACGUCGCGUGAUGGACGAAGUGCUUCGGCACGUAAACAUCUUUUAUGUGGGAUGAAAUUAUUGACAGUACCACAUGAAUAAGGGGCUCCUAACUCUGUGCCAGCAGGAGCGGUAAUACAGAGGCCCCAAGCGUUAUCCGGAAUCACUGGGCGUAAAGGGUGUCGAGGCGGUUGUAUUAGUCGUUCGUAAAAUCUACGAGCUUAACUUGUAGGCGGCGAACGAAACGGUACGACUUGAGGUUUGGAGAGGUGCGUGGAACUCACGGUGUAGGGGUGAAAUCCGUUGAUAUCGUGGGGAACACCGAAAGGCGAAGGCAGCGCACUGGCCAAAAUCUGACGCUCACACACGAAAGCUAGGGUAGCGAAGAGGAUUAGAUACCCCCGUAGUCCCUGAGCGGGCUGGCAAGGCGCAU
rnacentral:rRNA from 1 species